AGUAACUUUUAUUAUGAUGUAUAAUAUUUAUUGUACACCACAUUUGAAUAGAGUUAUGAACUAUCAUCACACGAAGACUUUCUCUCUCUAGUUUUUCCUCUCAAAGAAGGAAACCCACAAAAACCCUAAACCUAGCAGCCACCUUAGCUGGCUCGCUGGUGGCCACGGCUCGCUAAUCGGCCGCCAGCGAGCCUGCUACCCUAUUGUAUUAGCAGUGUAGCAUCGCGUUUCUGGCGGGGAAGAAGAAGACGGAGCCAAGCUUGGUCAAAAGAGAAGCUUAUACAUCCUCUUAGUGUGCUUCUUCUCACUGGAUCCGGUAAUUUUUAAUUCGGAGUCGUUUUAAUAGGUGGUUCAUCGCUUUGUGUGGUGGUUAUCUCAACGUUUUAGCGGGUGGAGAUCGAUCAAAUCUGAUCCGGGAUUCAAGUUGGCUUCUAAUCUCAGAUCUAUUUCGUACGCCGCUAUCGAAAAAUCGUCGGUAAAGGUAAAGUACGGCCUAGGGUUUCUUAAAUUAGGAGCUUUUCUCGGCUUUUGGAUUUGGUUUUGAGGGAUCCCGACCUUUCAAAUCGAAGCUACUCUUGUUGCCGUCGUCUUGUGGUAUCGGACUAUCGGAGAUACACCGAUCUUGACGAUAAAGGCGUGGAGGGGAAUCAAAUCGGAGUUAUCUUGGUCGCCGUUGUCUUGCAGUGUCGGAAAUACACCGAUCUUGACAAUAAAAGGAUGUUGGUGUGGCCUAUGUGGGUGGUGGUGGUUUUGUUUCUCUUUGAUUUGGUGUGUUGGUACCCAUAUGAGGUUGUUGUUGUUGUUAUUAUGCUGGGGUUUUCAAAUAUGUUGGGUGUAAUUGGAGGUUCUAUGUGGGAUUUUUCAAAUACGAUGUUUGAAGUAGUCAUGUUGGGUUUAAUGAAUAGGUGUAAAGAGGUUAUAAAAUUUGAUGUUCCUUCUUCCUCUUAAGUUUGGAGUGUGGAUUUUGGAGGAGGCGUCAUGAGUAUUGGCAAGGAAUAUCCAAUUGUCUUUGGCAGUGGUCUUGGAAGAUUUAGUUUGAGAAUAGGAGGUGUGUGUGGAAGGGGGUUUUGUGGUUCAUGGGUUUGGAUUGUAGUUUGGUCAUUGAGAUUGACUUCAGUUAAUUCUCAUUUUAGGUUAGCGGUGAGAGUGUUUCUCAACGCUUUCAAAAAUGUCUAUUUAAACGCUGCUCCCCAUUUUUUGGGGAUUCAUAGCAUGCUUACCGAGUCCUUUAACCUUUUAAGGAUUCAUAAUGCUUGUGUGAUUAUCACAAGCUCUUUGCAACCAAUCUGUGGCGUUACUACUCUUCCUCUUCUUUAUGUUGUUUUUGAGUUCCACAAAUAUUCCAAGGGGUCUCUCUAUGUUUACCUUCCCAACUUACUCUACUAUAAGAAGAUCACCAGCAACAAGGGCUUUGGCACGCUCAACACUGUUGGACGUUGUAAACAAAGUGGUGUCGACAAUCAUGAGUUCACCAAAGAAGAGAGUGCUUCCCUUUCGGCCUUUAGUAGUUUCUUUUUAGGUUGUUAUGUAAGUGUUUUGUAUGUUCCUGGUAGAUUUUUUUUCUCGGUAACUUGUAGUUUGUAAUAGUGUGUAAACUCUUUAAUUUUCCAAAUUAAGCCUAUGUCUAAAAAAACAAAAAAAAAACAUUUGAAUAAGAAUUUAUGAAAAAAUUAUGGAAAUUUAGUGAUGG